rnacentral:rRNA from 1 species
GAUGAACGCUGGCGGCGUGCCUAAUACAUGCAAGUCGAGCGAACGGACGAGAAGCUUGCUUCUCUGAUGUUAGCGGCGGACGGGUGAGUAACACGUGGAUAACCUACCUAUAAGACUGGGAUAACUUCGGGAAACCGUAGCUAAUACCGGAUAAUAUUUUGAACCGCAUGGUUCAAAAGUGAAAGACGGUCUUGCUGUCACUUAUAGAUGGAUCCGCGCUGCAUUAGCUAGUUGGUAAGGUAACGGCUUACCAAGGCAACGAUGCAUAGCCGACCUGAGAGGGUGAUCGGCCACACUGCAACUGAGACACGGUCCAGACUCCUACGGGAGGCAGCAGUAGGGAAUCUUCCGCAAUGGGCGAAAGCCUGACGGAGCAACGCCGCGUGAGUGAUGAAGGUCUUCGGAUCGUAAAACUCUGUUAUUAGGGAAGAACAUAUGUGUAAGUAACUGUGCACAUCUUGGCGGUACCUAAUCAGAAAGCCACGGCUAACUACGUG